rnacentral:rRNA from 1 species
GACGAACGCUGGCGGCGUGCUUAACACAUGCAAGUCGAACGGUGAAGCGCCUUCCUUUUUGGUGGGUGUGGAUGAGUGGCGAACGGGUGAGUAACACGUGAGUAACCUGCCCCCUUCUUCUGGAUAACCGCAUGAAAGUGUGGCUAAUACGGGAUAUUCUGGGUCUGUCGCAUGAUGGGUCUGGGAAAGAUAUUGUUUCGGUGGGGGAUGGGCUCGCGGCCUAUCAGCUUGUUGGUGGGGUGAUGGCCUACCAAGGCGGUGACGGGUAGCCGGCCUGAGAGGGUGGACGGUCACACUGGGACUGAGACACGGCCCAGACUCCUACGGGCGGCAGCAGUGGGUAAUAUUGCACAAUGGGCGCAAGCCUGAUGCAGCGACGCCGCGUGAGGGAUGGAGGCCUUCGGGUUGUGAACCUCUUUCGCCAGUGAAGCAGGCCUGCCUCGUUUGUGGGUGGGUUGACGGUAGCUGGAUAAGAAGCGCCGGCUAACUACGUG